AGAGUUUGAUCCUGGCUCAGGACGAACGCUGGCGGCGUGCUUAACACAUGCAAGUCAAGGGGGCCCAGCAAUGGGCAACCGGCGAACGGGUGCGUAACACGUGAGCAACCUACCGAAAUGCGGGGGAUAGCCGGCCUAACGGCCGAGUAAUACCGCAUACGCUCUUUAUGAGGCAUUUCAUGGAGAGGAAACCUACGGGGUAUUUCGAGGGGCUCGCGGCCUAUCAGCUAGUUGGCGAGGUAACGGCUCACCAAGGCAACGACGGGUAGCUGGUCUGAGAGGAUGGCCAGCCACAUUGGGACUGAGAUACGGCCCAGACUCCUACGGGAGGCAGCAGUGGGGAAUCUUGCGCAAUGGCCUAACGGCUGACGCAAGCGACGCCGCGUGUGGGAUGAAGCUCCUCGGAGUGUAAACCACUGUUGCCCGGGACGAAUAGCUCGAUUAAUCGAGCCUGACGGUACCGGGUGAGGAAGCACCGGCUAACUCCGUGCCAGCAGCCGCGGUAAUACGGGGGGUGCGAGCGUUGUCCGGAAUCACUGGGCGUAAAGGGCGCGUAGGUGGUUUGAUAAGGGUGUGGUGAAAGUCCGGGGCUCAACCCCGGAUCUGCCGUGCCGACUGUCAAACUCGAGGACUGUAGAGGCAGACGGAAUUCCGGGUGUAGCGGUGGAAUGCGUAGAGAUCCGGAGGAAGACCGGUGGCGAAGGCGGUCUGCUGGGCAGUUUCUGACACUGAGGCGCGACAGCGUGGGG
rnacentral:rRNA from 1 species